GACGUAGGGCGCGAGCGUUGUCCGGAUUUAUUGGGCGUAAAGAGCUCGUAGGCGGCUUGUCGCGUCGUCCGUGAAAAACCCGGGGCUCAACUCCGGGCUUGCGGGCGAUACGGGCAGGCUAGAGUUCGGUAGGGGAGCCUGGAAUUCCGUGGUGUAGCGGUGAAAUGCGCAGAUAUCAGGAGGAACACCGGUGGCGAAGGCGGG
rnacentral:rRNA from 1 species